AAAUGGAGCGAGGGCUCAGCCCCGCCCCGUGCUUCAGACGGUCGUGUCGGGUCUGGAGCGCGUGUCCCUACCGAACAUGCAUAAACAUACGGGACGCACAGACGUCGCUCCGGCGACGGGCCACGGCCAUACCAUCCGCACAGACUAUACACAUAUCAGAUCAGUUCAUUACAACUGGUAGCGUUGGAUCCCUCGGCAUGGCUAUCGAUGAAGAACGCGGCCAGCUGCGAAAUGUGAUGUGAAUUGCAACUCAAAGCGGUUAUCGUGAAUCAUUGACUAUUUGAACGCAUUGCACCGCCCUUAUGGGAGUGGUACGCCCGAUUGAGAGUCAUAAACGACCUUCAGGCCUCGCCGUCCGACCGUUCGCUCGGUGGCCGGCCGUGUCUGCUGCAAGCCAUCUCCUCGGAGGUGGUGGAGGUGCACGGCUGGGGACGACGGGGUGCUGGCUCCGAGGCCUGCACGGCUUGCGAGCCGCGCGCCUUCAGAUGCAUUAGCGGCUGCCCCGAGAGCAAGUCCGACUCUGUGUAAUGAAACACAUCUCGCGCGGAGGAGUGCCCCUGGUGCACACUUGCGACCGUCGCGACCGCUCCGAACCUGCCUCCGGGCAAAAGAGCUG
rnacentral:rRNA from 1 species